AUGGAAAUGACUAAAGUAGUCAAACCUGUUCACUGGAAGCGGAUGAGCGAAUACUUUUGGCAAUAUAGUGUAUGUGUGCCAAUAAAAGUUUAUACCUGUGUAUAUACUUGUAAAUACUACACUUGUUUCUUUUUUUCCCAAACAGACAUGUUCAAAAUUGUCGAAUUUGUUGAGACACAUGAGGUGGAGCUGGUUCCAGCCAUUUGGGUGGAGAAUGGCCAGUGCUAUUGGCCUAAUUCACUGAGGGGUAUGGCCCUUCACCUGGCCAUUAAAAACAAGACACCUCCUAACUGUGACUGGGGAAGUUGGGAAGUCCGAACAAUGUUUUCAACAGACAGCUAUGAAGAGGGCAGAAGGAAGGCUAAAGAGGCAGAGACCUGGUCAGACCUCCAGUCAGACGCAGAAAUGUCUGGACAGAAACCACCAAGGCGUAAAAUGAAGAGUGUUCGAAUUGGCCCACCUGGAGGUUGCUUAAUGGACUCAGAGGAGGAAUCUGGCCCACCCCCCAAGCAACUUCUUCCACCUGCCCCCACUGUAAACCUCCCUGUAGUCAUCCCAAACACCACUUUCACCCCUGUUCCCAUCACCACAUUGCCAGCAGCAGCAGCACCACCACCACAAGGGACAUAUACAGAGAUGCUGCAAAAUUGGCAGCCGAUGGACGAUGUGCCACCGCUGCGGAGUUGUCAGACGUUCAGAAUUGCCCCCCAGCAAUCAUCAGAACCAGCCCUGCUGAGGGAGGUUCUAACAAAAUUAGAGAUGGUGCUGGACCAGCAAUCCACCAUCCUCAGAUUGUUGCAGCUGCGGGAAGACCAGGGACAGCUUUUUGAACAUAGAGGAAGGUUUGCUGCCCCUGCAAGACCUUCCACAACUGCUCAGCCUUGAGCAAAGGAUUCAGCAGAGCCCAGAUUACAAGCAAAAACUGAUAAACUGGUUGGGGCUUAUUGGUGGGGCGGACGUGCGCGACUGCACCUGGCGCAUAUUAAAGAGGUUGAUUGCCAACUCUCUGGCAAAGAACCUUAAUUGGAGAGGAGUCAAUGGAAAGACUUCAGUGGCCACUCUUCAACUCAGAGAGGUUGUGAUUGGUAAGAAAACAGUAUCCCCCGAUUUCACAUACAAGGCUUAGGCCUAGUCCCGGACUAAAAUGUAAUUCUGAGCUAUUUCAACUGAAAGAAACUUGCACUGACUGAUAUUUAAAUAUAUCAGUGCCUUUGUUUUGUCUCAAGAUGCACACCAAUUAUGUUUUUACUAAGUCACAUUUAUAAAAAAUUACUUAGAUGUCCUUAUUGAACUAUUGACUAAUCCUGGCUGUAGUGGAUUCUGUAGUGGGUACGAGUAAAUACAGUUCUUUACAAUCUGUAAUACACAUUAUCAUUAUUUAGGUCACUUCAAUCAAAUCAUGUUACACAGUAUGCACAACAACAGCAUGGCUAAACUGAGGAUCAUUUUUCAUUACUUUGAGACAAUAUGCUUUUUUUAUUUUUACUUUAAUUUAUAUGAAUUAUUUCCUCUCUCAGACGCAAAAACCAUCAAACCUAAAUUACAGUUUACUUGCUAACACAUUUGCAGUUGUUAUUAUAUAUUUUUGUCUAUAAUUAUUUUUAUUUAAUCAAUCUGAAUAUUAUAACAAUUAUUUGCAAUAAUUUAAAAUAAUAUAUUAUUAAUUAGCAGUAAACUUAAUUACUGUCAUAAAUAUUAGUUUUGUAUUUUUACUGUAAUAAAAAUAAUAAUAAUUAUAUUUCAUAUUAAUAGAUUAUUU
ensembl:lncRNA